rnacentral:rRNA from 1 species
CAGAAACUACAAAGGAAGUUGACGGGGCCCGCACAAGCGGAGGAGCAUGUGGUUUAAUUCGAUGAUACGCGAGGAACCUUACCUGGGCUCGAACGUAAGAUGACUGUAGGUGAAAGCUUACAUCUCUUCGGAGCAUUUUACGAGGUGCUGCAUGGUUGUCGUCAGCUCGUGCCGUGAGGUGUCGGGUUAAGUCCCAUAACGAGCGCAACCCUACCUUUAGUUGCCAUCAGGUAAUGCUGGGGACUCUAAAGGAACUGCCUACGCAAGUAGUGAGGAAGGCGGGGAUGACGUCAAAUCAGCACGGCCCUUACGUCCAGGGCUACACACGUGCUACAAUGGCCGAUACAGAGGGCAGCUACCUGGUGACAGGAUGCAAAUCUCCAAAGUCGGUCUCAGUUCGGAUCGGAGUCUGCAACCCGACUCCGUGAAGUUGGAUUCGCUAGUAAUCGCGCAUCAGCCAUGGCGCGGUGAAUACGUUCCCGGGCCUU